AUUGAACGCUGGCGGCAUGCCUUACACAUGCAAGUCGAACGGUAACGGGCCUUCGGGUGCCGACGAGUGGCGAACGGGUGAGUAAUACAUCGGAACGUGCCCGAUCGUGGGGGAUAACGAGGCGAAAGCUUUGCUAAUACCGCAUACGAUCUACGGAUGAAAGCAGGGGACCGCAAGGCCUUGCGCGGACGGAGCGGCAGAUGGCAGAUUAGGUAGUUGGUGGGAUAAAAGCUUACCAAGCCGACGAUCUGGAGCUGGUCUGAGAGGAUGAUCAGCCACACUGGGACUGAGACACGGCCCAGGCGCCUACGGGAGGCAGCAGUGGGGAAUUUUGGACAAUGGGCGCAAGCCUGAUCCAGCCAUGCCGCGUGCAGGAUGAAGGCCUUCGGGGUGUAAACUGCUUUUGUACGGAACGAAAAGCCUUCUUUUAAUACAGGAGGGUCAUGACGGUACCGUAAGAAUAAGCACCGGCUAACUACGUG
rnacentral:rRNA from 1 species